rnacentral:rRNA from 1 species
UACGAAGGGGGCUAGCGUUGCUCGGAAUCACUGGGCGUAAAGGGCGCGUAGGCGGCCAUUCAAGUCAGGGGUGAAAGCCUGUGGCUCAACCACAGAAUUGCCUUUGAUACUGUUUGGCUAGAGACCGGAAGAGGUAAGUGGAACUGCGAGUGUAGAGGUGAAAUUCGUAGAUAUUCGCAAGAACACCAGUGGCGAAGGCGGCUUACUGGUCCGGUUCUGACACUGAGGCGCGAAAGCGUGGGGAGCAAACAGG